rnacentral:lncRNA from 7 species
GUUAUUGCUAACCGUUAUUCAGCUCCAGCAACUGAAAGUGAUAAGCUAUGCCUGAUGACACACCUGAGACCUGACUGCAACAUGCAUGCAGUGCAGGAAAACAACCAAGAAAAGGCUCGAUCUUGCCAUGCAUGCACAUAACUGUAUGAAUACGAAUUGCGUGUGCAUGUCUAAUACUGAGUGCAUGCAUGCAUGGCUCUACCUAGAUAUAUUAUACCUGUGGAAAUUCCUACUGCAUCUAGAUAGCUCGAUCGCCUGCAUCUGAUGCUUUGAGUGAAGAAUAAAACAAAGGUGGUUGUAGUUGUAGGCGCCUGUUUUCGUUCGUGGCUUCAUAGAUUUGGCCUUUGAAUUUGGAUCCGAAAAGAGGGGUGCAUCAGCCUCUAUCAUGCAAAUAAAAAAGCUGAUAGCAGAGAUCUCUCAUUCUCUCCUUUUGCCUUGGGGGUACCAAAAGGCUAUGAGCCAUGCAUAAUUAAAGAUGUUUUUAUUGAGGCGAGGUUGUCACACGAUGGAUGAUAGUACCACCAAGUAUCAAGAACAGGAUGAUGACCAUGAUGGCAAUUAUAUUAGGAGCUACAUACCACUACUAGUAAGUACUCAACACCUUAGCCCCUGAGGAUUGCACUGCACCUGCACUGCAUUGAUGAAUCUCUCUUUUCAGAUGGCUCUCGAUCUCUGACCGAAUCCAGGACAUGUGUACUCCAAGGAGACCAUUAUGGAGAUCAGAACUGGGUACUUAAGGAGUACUAUAUGUAUUAACACCGGAGAUCAGAAUGGCAGAAGGCACGUACGCAGAUCAUAAUGCACGCAUGCAGAUCCAAGGAGAAGGGUCCGAUCCAUCGAACCCGUAAGCUUCAGAGGGAAUUUAUUUUCCUGAUCACGUCGUCGUCGCCUGCAGAGGACGUAUCAUUGAGAGGGUAGAAUAUGCUCCAUGCACCCCUUCCUAAAAGGAUUGCCAUCAUACACUCAAGUCGAUGACGACUUUUUAGAACUUCUCCAAUCUUCCUAAAAAGAAGUAGCUGACCAUAAUUAUUACGCAUUAUGAAUAUACUAAUUAAUACUUUCGAU